AAACGGGAUGAUAGCGACAAGAGAGAGUGAAGAAAGAAGAAGAAAGGGUGAAAGGCAGUUACAUUUUCUAACGCUCAGCUCGCACUCGCUGCCGUAGCUUUUACCGUCGCUACCACACACGGGUUGACCGGAUGGUGGACAGUAAAUUGGACAGCUACACUUGAUACCACCUUCUUGCGCCGAGAUGCACACGGAGAAGCGUGGACAGCGGAUGUUGCCACAAGAAACGCGCUCUGUCAGAGUAAGGUAGAGAUUCUUACGAGCGCACUUUGAUUUUUGCUAAAUAAAGCAACUGCACAACUGUGCAAACAAAGCAGGAUCGUCCAGAUGUUCGGUUUUCACAAUAAACUUGGCUCACUUUCAAGUUUAGAGACCACCAUAAUUAUAGGAAA